GAGAAGUUAUUUCUUCGGAGGUCUGAGUAAACUGGUUAACGGGUGAGUAACACGUAGGUAACCUGGCCUUGAAUCUGGUAUAACCUUGCUAUGGCGGGCCUAAUACCGGUUAUAAUCCUUUUUUCUGAUGGUAAAGGGAUGAAAGUUGCCUUUUGGUAACCUUCAUUGAUGGACCUGCCUCCCAUUAGCUAUUUGGUGAGGUAACGGCUCACCAAGGCAACGAUGGGUAGCCGGCCUGAGAGGGUGACCGGCCACACUGGGACUGACAUACGGCCCAUACUCCUACGGGAGGCAGCAGUGAGGAAUAUUGCGCAAUGGCCAAAAGGGUGACGCCUCAACGCCGCGUGGGUGAUGACGCUCCAAGGAGUGUAAAGCCCUGUUAGGAGGGAAGAACGACAUUGGCGUGAAUAAUGUCCAUGCCUGACUGUACCUCCAGAGAAAUCCCCGGCUAACUCCGUGCCAGCACCCCCUGUAAUACGGGGGGGGCAAGCGUUGUCCGGAAUUAGUGGGCGUAAACGGCGCGUAGGCUGAAUAAUAACUCUGAGGUGAAAAUCAUGGGCUUGACUUAUGGCUUGCCUUUGAAACUGUUAUUCUUGAGUGCGGAACAGGGAAGUGGAAUUCCUGGUGUAACGGUGAAAUGCGUAGAUAUCAGGAAGAACACCCGCUAGCGAUAGCAGCCUUCUGGUCGUAACUGACGCUGAGGCGUGAUAAGCGUGGUGAGCUAAACAGGAUUAGAUACUCCUGGUAGUACACGCCGUAAACGAUGGGCACUAGGUGUUGGUUCUCGAUGAGUGGAUCAGUGCCGAAGCUAACGCAUUAAGUGCCCCGCCUGGGGAGUACGAUCGCAAGGUUGAAACUCAAAGGAAUUGACGGGGGCCCGCACAAGCGGUGGAGCAUGUGGUUUAAUUCGAUGCAACGCGAAGAACCUUACCUGGGCUUGAACUGAAGUGGCUCGCCACCGAAAGGUGGUUUUUCCUUCGGGAAAUGUUUCAGAGGUGCUGCAUGGCUGUCGUCAGCUCGUGCCUUGAGGUGUUGGGUUAAGUCCCGCAACGAGCGCAACCCUUUCCCUUAGUUGCCAUCAGGUUAUGCUGGGAACUUUAAGGGGACUGCCCUGGAUAACGGGGAGGAAGGUGGGGAUGACGUCAAGUCCUCAUGGCCCUUACGUCCAGGGGUACACACGUGCUACAAUGGCUGGUACAACGGGAAGCGAUAUCGCGAGAUGGAGCAAAUCCUUAAAAACCGGUCUCAGUUCGGAUUGCAGUCUGCAACUCGACUGCAUGAAGUGGGAAUCGCUUGUAAUCGCGGAUCAGCAUGCCGCGGUAAAUACGUUCCCGGGCCUUGUACACACCGCCCGUCACGCCAUGGAAGUCGGUAGCACCCGAAGCCGAUGGCCUAACC
rnacentral:rRNA from 1 species